AGAAUCGCUUGAACCUGGGAGGCAGAGGUUGCAGUGAGCCGAGAUCGUGCCAUGGCACUCCAGCCUGAGUGACAAGAGUGAAACCCCAUCUCAAAAAAAAAAAAAAACAAAAAAACUUAUGUACAUAGAAAAAUGUGUAUAUGAAUGUUCACAGCAGCACUGUGCAUAAUAGCCAAAAAGGGAAAACCACUGAAAUGUUCAUCAGCUGAUAAAUGGAUAAACAAAAUACAGCAUGGUUGGUCAUACAAUGGAAUGCUGUUUAGCCAUUAAAAAGGAAUGAAAUACCCAUACCACGAGAUGGCUGAACCUUGAAAACAUUUUGCUAAAUAAAAGAAGCCAGACAUAAAACACCACAUAUUGUAUGAUUUCAUUUAUACAAAAUGUCCGGAAUAGGCAAAUCCACUGGAGAGAGAAAGUAGAUGAAUAGUUGUCAGGGGUAGGGAGAGGAGAGAAUGAGGAGUGACU
rnacentral:lncRNA from 1 species